rnacentral:tRNA from 1 species
GCCAAUGUGGUGGAGUGGUUUGAGUGUUAGACUAUGAUUCUAGAGACCAGGGUUCAAAUCCCCACUCAAGCA